GGAGGUAUAGCUCAGUGGUAGAGCAACGCUUAGCAUGCAUGAGGUCCUGGGUUCAAUCCCCAGUACCUCCA
rnacentral:tRNA from 1 species